rnacentral:rRNA from 1 species
CCCUUAGAUGUUCUGGGCCGCACGCGCGCUACACUGAUGCGUUCAACGAGCCUAUCCUUGACCGACAGGUCCGGGUAAUCUUUGAAUCUGCAUCGUGACGGGGAUAGAUUAUUGCAAUUAUUAAUCUUCAACGAGGAAUGCCUAGUAGGCGCAAGUCAUCAGCUUGCGUCGAUUACGUCCCUGCCCUUUGUACACACCGCCCGUCGCUCCUACCGAUUGGGUGUGCUGGUGAAAUGUUCGGAUCGGCCGUUUGUCGCGGUUUCCGCGGCUCGUGGCUGAGAAGUUCAUUAAACCCUCCCACCUAGAGGAAGGAGAAGUCGUAACA